AUUGAACGCUGGCGGCAUGCCUUACACAUGCAAGUCGAACGGCAGCACGGGUGCUUGCACCUGGUGGCGAGUGGCGAACGGGUGAGUAAUACAUCGGAACGUACCUUAUCGUGGGGGAUAACGCAGCGAAAGCUGUGCUAAUACCGCAUACGCCCUGAGGGGGAAAGCGGGGGAUCGAAAGACCUCGCGCGAUUAGAGCGGCCGAUGCCUGAUUAGCUUGUUGGUGGGGUAAAAGCCCACCAAGGCGACGAUCAGUAGCUGGUCUGAGAGGACCAUCAGCCGCAAUGGGACUGAGACAACGCCCAGACUCCUAAGGGAGGAAGGAAGGGGGAAUUUUUGGCAAAGGGGGCAACCCUGAUCCAGCAAUGCCGCGUGAGUGAAGAAGGCCUUCGGGUUGUAAAGCUCUUUUGUCAGGGAAGAAACACCGGCUCUAACACAGUCCGGGAAUGACGGUACCUGAAGAAUAAGCACCGGCUAACUACGUGCCAGCCGCCGCCGUAA
rnacentral:rRNA from 1 species